rnacentral:lncRNA from 1 species
CCGCCAUGUAAGAUGUGACUUGGUCCUGCUUGCCUUCCACCAUGAUUGUGAGGCCUUCCCAGCCAUGUGGAACUGUGUUGAUUCUAAGGAUACCCCCAAUAAACAUCUUUCGUGCUAAAGCCCAUUCCAGAAUUUACUUCCCAGCUAUCUUUGAUGUUCAUAUUGUCAGAGGUGGUGGCCGCUGAAACAGGCAAAGACAUGGAGCAUAUCUUGGGUCCAGGACCUUGGGAGUCCAGAGGAAGGUCUUUUUACCAUCAGCAUUCUCUACUGUGUUCAAUGACUGUCAGCCAAAGAUGGCCAGGUUCUCUACUGUGAUGGUGAAUUUUAUGUGUCAAUUUGACUGGACCAUGGGAUGCCCAGCUUUCCUUCAGAAAGAAAUGCAUUCAAAGAACCUACAUUCACAACAUAAAGAAAUAAAGCCUGCACCUACAGAUCUACACACAUGCCCAUGCACAUGCAGGAAGUGUUCAUCUAAGACUGGACCUUUUAGAAGAAAGCUGGCAUACAUUCGUGAAGGCAUGGGCUUCCAGGCAUGUCAUCUUCACUCACGAAGCACACACAAGACCGCCAAGCAUUAAGAUUCUCCUGUGGAGCCAGGCUACAAUCCUUUAAAUGAAGACAGACAGCUAGGUGGCUGCAGCCCAGCGCUACACCUCACCCCUCCCUCAGUGUCAUGCAGAAAAAAUGUAUUCAGAACUCAGAAGUGAAGUUGUGCAAAUCCAUCAUUGACACUAGCUUCAAGGUUACCUCGGGGGAGCAGAAUGUACCCCUGCCAGAGAGCUGGAUAGAUGAUGAUGGGGACAGAAAUUCUGGGGGAGUUGUAAAUGGCAGCCACUGCCUCUAUAGGAAACCCAAAGGGAACACAGCAGAAGAGGAGGUGGUGGAGGAGCCACUGCCCUCUCGAAGGGUUCAAUGUCAUUCUGCAGACACAACCAAAUAACUUUUUCUUCCCUGCUGCUCCUCCAUUUGAAAUGACAGCCCCGAGCUCGCUUUUUCCUUGAUUGUGUAACUCUGAUUACAGACAAGGCCAAGGCAAUCCCAGGGCAUUACUACAAAGCUAAGGGGUCCCCAAAGAACUAAAGAGUCAGCUCCACAAAAAUCCCGAUUCCUAGCAUGAAACUGAAAUAUGAAACCAAACGGGCAUAGAAAAGGUAUGUGCAUUCGAAUCACAUAGCAGUGACUGGAGUCCUGAGCUGUGUCUGAAGACUGUGAGAUCACGUUUGGAGCUGCUGAUUGGUUUUCAGUGAUGGCCCUGUUGCACAGUGCCGUGAGACUUAGCUCCAUGGCCAAAGACGAUGGUAUCCCCUAGGAGCCCUGUGAGGUUGCUGCUGUUCUCUUAAGACACCAGGUAGCCAUCUGAUCCUCCCUGAGCAAACUAACUGGGCAGACAGGUUUAUUAAACCUCUGUUGGUCCGACUUACAUGAAACAAGAGAGUUAUUUUGUUGUUGUUGUUUUGUUUUGUUUUAAAUUAAACCUGUCUUUGGAGCCUCCUGC